rnacentral:rRNA from 1 species
UGCUUCAGGCCUAACACAUGCAAGUCGAACGGUAACAGGAAAAAGCUUGCUUUUUUGCUGACGAGUGGCGCACGGGUGCGUAACGCGUAUACAAUCUACCUCUUACAGGGGGAUAGCCUUUGGAAACGAAGAUUAAUACCCCAUAGUAUUUACAAUUCGCAUGUUUUGUAAAUUAAAGUUUCGGCGGUAGGAGAUGAGUAUGCGUUCUAUUAGCUAGUAGGUGUGGUAACGGCACACCUAGGCAACGAUAGAUAGGGGCCCUGAGAGGGGGAUCCCCCACACUGGUACUGAGACACGGACCAGACUCCUACGGGAGGCAGCAGUGAGGAAUAUUGGACAAUGGGCGGAAGCCUGAUCCAGCCAUGCCGCGUGCAGGAAGACUGCCCUAUGGGUUGUAAACUGCUUUUGUACGGGAAGAAACCCAUCUACGUGUAGAUGGCUGACGGUACCGUAAGAAUAAGCAUCGGCUAACUCCGUGCCAGCAGCCGCGGUGAUACGGAGGAUGCAAGCGUUAUCCGGAAUCAUUGGGUUUAAAGGGUCCGUAGGUGGAUUGGUCAGUCAGAGGUGAAAUCCUGCAGCUCAACUGUAGAACUGCCUUUG